AAGGCUCGCUUCGGCGGGUC
rnacentral:snRNA from 1 species